rnacentral:rRNA from 1 species
UGGGGCGGUCUCCUCCUAAAGCGUAACGGAGGAGCACAAAGGUGGGCUAAGUACGGUCGGACAUCGUACGGUUAGUGUAAUGGCACAAGCCCGCUUGACUGCGAGACAGACACGUCGAGCAGGUACGAAAGUAGGUCAUAGUGAUCCGGUGGUUCUGUAUGGAAGGGCCAUCGCUCAACGGAUAAAAGGUACUCCGGGGAUAACAGGCUGAUACCGCCCAAGAGUUCACAUCGACGGCGGUGUUUGGCACCUCGAUGUCGGCUCAUCACAUCCUGGGGCUGAAGCCGGUCCCAAGGGUAUGGCUGUUCGCCAUUUAAAGUGGUACGCGAGCUGGGUUUAGAACGUCGUGAGACAGUUCGGUCCCUAUCUGCCGUGGACGUUGGAGAUUUGAGGAAAGCUGCUCCUAGUACGAGAGGACCGGAGUGGACGAACCUCUGGUGUUCGGGUUGUCACGCCAGUGGCAUUGCCCGGUAGCUAUGUUCGGAUAGGAUAACCGCUGAAAGCAUCUAAGCGGGAAGCCCCUUCCAAGAUGAGAUCUCCCUGGGCCCUAGAGGCCCCUGAAGAGCCGUUCAAGACCAGGACGUUGAUAGGUCGGGUGUGUAAGCGCUGCGAGGCGUUGAGCUAACCGAUACUAAUUGCUCGUGCGGCUUGACUAUAUAACACCC